CAGCAGCCGCGGGAAUACGUAGGGUGCGAGCGUUAAUCGGAAUUACUGGGCGUAAAGCGUGCGCAGGCGGUUCGUUAAGACAGAUGUGAAAUCCCCGGGCUUAACCUGGGAACUGCAUUUGUGACUGGCGAGCUAGAGUAUGGCAGAGGGGGGUAGAAUUCCACGUGUAGCAGUGAAAUGCGUAGAGAUGUGGAGGAAUACCGAUGGCGAAGGCAGCCCCCUGGGCCAAUACUGACGCUCAUGCACGAAAGCGUGGGGAGCAAACAGGAUUAGAUACCCCAGUAGUCCCUGUCUCUUAUAU
rnacentral:rRNA from 1 species